rnacentral:rRNA from 1 species
AUCGAACGCUGGCGGCAGGCCUAACACAUGCAAGUCGAGCGAGCGGAGGACGGGCGAAUAAUGUAGGGGGAUCUGCCUGAUGGAGGGGGAAAACUACGGUAAACGGUAGCUAAUACCGCAUAACAUCAGAUGAACCCAUGUGGGAUUAGCUAGUAGGUGUGGUAACGGCUUACCUAGGAGACGAUGCCUAGCUGGUCUGAGAGGCUGAUCGGCCACACUGGGACUGAGACACGGCCCAGACUCCUACGGGAGGCAGCAGUGGGGAAUAUUGGGCAAUGGGCGAAAGCCUGAUAGAGCCAUGCCGCGUGUAUGAAGAAGGCUUUCGGGUUGUAAAGUACUGUCAGUCGUGAGGCGUUACCGACAGAAGAAGCACCGGCUAACUACGUGCCAGCAGCCGCGGUAAUAC